AUCAAAUCCAAAGGUGGGCUCCUCUUUGCUAAAAGAUGUUCAUCAUGGUAUUCCAAGCAGUGGAGUAUCUGGUGGCCAUGUCUCUUUAUCCAGGGUUCCUAUGAAUAUUAUCAUUACCUUCAAGAUGGAUUUGAUGAUUCGGGCUGGGGUUGUGCUUACCGCUCUCUGCAAACAAUUGUUUCAUGGUUCAAGCAACAACACUAUACUUCCAUUGAUGUCCCCUCACAUAG